rnacentral:rRNA from 1 species
GUUUGGGAAUGCAGCUCAAAGUGGGUGGUAAAUUCCAUCUAAGGCUAAAUAUAAGUGAGAGACCGAUAGCAUACAAGUACCGUGAGGGAAAGAUGAAAAGAACUUUGAAAAUAGAGUUAACAGUACGUGAAAUUGCUGAAAGGGAAACGUUUGAAGUUAGUAUUGUAUUCGUUGGAUCAGCUUCGCAAGAGGUCUAUUCCGAUGAUAAGCAAGUCAACAUCAGUCUAUGAGUGUUGGAAAAGAGGCUCGAGAAUGUAGCAAUUUAAUUGUGUUAUAGCUUGGGACUUUGACUACAACGCUCUUGAUUGAGGAACGCGUAGUAAGCUUUGAGCGGGUUCGAAAGAGCCUCCUUACUAUGGAUGUUGGUGAAAUAACUUUAAGCGACCCGUCUUGAAACACGGACCAAGGAGUCUAACAUGCUUGCGAGUAUUAGGGCGUUGAAACCCGAAUGCGUAAUGAAAGUGAUUUCAGAUGUGAUCCGCAAGGUGCAACAUCGGCCGGUCCUGAUUAUUUAUAUGACGGUACUGAGCAAGAGCAAGUAUGUUAGGACCCGAAAGAUGGUGAACUAUGCCUGGAUAGGG